rfam:Schistosoma rodhaini strain Burundi genome assembly, scaffold: SROB_scaffold0018290
GCACUGCUGAGGAGUCCCAUAAUAGGACGAAAAUGCCGUCCAGUGC